CGUACUCGAAGAGGCUACAAAAGAAGGAUUUCUAUGCGCCAGGCCGCAUCGCAAAAUAAAACGUCAUCUACAAGAUGCGGAACAUUCGAAACAGCUUUACAUAGCGACGUUUGCUGAAAAAUUAGCGGUCACCGUGGUGGAGCGGUUAUGACGUUUAUUAGCGACCGUGAGAAAUUUCCCGUCAGUAGACCCAAAUGAAUAAUUCCGAAGAUUGCAUUUCAUAAUUUGAGAUAAUGUUUCAAAAACUUUGGUUACGUGUAUUAUAG